GUGCGUCAGCGGCCGGAAGUGGAGAAUCGGGGGAGGGGCUGAUGCUUCAGGAGAAGAAGGAGGCGGAAGAGAAAGUCGGCCUGCGCCUUCUUUCUUGGGAGAGUCCUGUGCGCCACCUUUGGGGCAGUUUUAAGGCCCUCUUUUGGUUGGCGUUUGGGCAGGAAAUGUCUCAGACGCCUUUAUGGCGUGAGGGUCGAGACACUGAAUAAUCUCUGAGGCGAUGGGGAAAAGAUCCAGCGGGAGGCGGAUUUCCCCACGCCUACUCGGCGCACAGCGAAUUAGGCAUUGAGCGUUCCCAGAGCUCAGCGUGUACUAAAUCUGCACCCUCCAUCCAAGGGGACGAUUUAAGAGUCGUCUCCCAGAAGACAAGAACAUGGAUUUUGGAAGGAAAUCGAGGCAUGAAGUGGAAACAGAAUUCAAAUGUUUCCUACUGUGGAUGGAGAUGUCACGCUGGACUGCAGCGCCCUGGGGGCAUGAGCUCACUGACAUGGAGUUUGGGGCAGGUCCUUCCAGGGGAGCUCUGGUCUGAGGGAGGAGUGGAUGACUUUCUGAAGGAACUGCUGUUGGAAGCCCUGGAAGCUUGCCGGUGUGGCUGUUUACGCACCCAGCCUCCCAGCUUGCUUUCAGUGGCCCAGCCCCUCUGCUGGAGCUGCGGAAGCUUCGUCGCUAACAGGUGGACCUCACCGCCUACUUCCGUCCCUCGAGCCGAAGGCAGCAUAGCAGCUCUGGUGGGUGGGGAGGACCCCCCGCUGGUCUACUUGAAUUCACCUGCUGUUCCUGACCUUAUGCAUCCGCGGGUGACACUUCCUCCCCCACCUGCAGUAACUGAGCCCCAGAUAACCACACGCACACCCUCCAUGAGCGUCCUCUCGCCUUCUCUCACCAGGCCAUCUGAACGGGACCCUGCUCUCUCACGCCCUCGCCCUGGCUUUUGCUCAUUUCAUGGCAGGUGUCACUAGGUGACAUAUACAUCUAUCCCUUACUAUCUGUCUGUCCCAUAGGAAAGCAGUGCCAGGGAGGGAGCAGGUGCUGUUUUUAUCCACUGUGAACAAGGUGAACUGUAUCAGGGGCACUUAAUACAGUAUCUUUUUUCCUAAAUACGUGGGUGAUUAGAUGAAUAGUAAGCGGCAACCCCUUGGAAUCCCUCGGGGAGUCCAGCACUGCUCUAGGAUAAGAGCUACACCUAAAGUGGUUCAUAUUUGUUGUGGGCAGGGAUGAGUCGGUGAGAGGUUCCAGCAAAGCUGCCCUGUGUUGUGAUAGGCGGUGCAGGGUGUCGAAGUGGCACGUGGGAGUGUGUCUAACGCACAGGAUGUGGGGGUGGGCGCUGAGGAGGGGCCCAGAGGGGUAGUGACGGCUGCAUCUGUGCCUGGCGGUUUGCAUGUGUGGACCCUGGCCGUGGGCAAGGCGUGGAGAACCUGCCUGGAGGAUCUGUGCACUGGGGGAAGAGGGUGGACCUUCUUGAGGAGCCCUUCAACUUCUGCUCAGCUGCAUGCAGAGGAGAGGAGGAGGGGCUGUCAAGUCGCUGUGAAACUCCUAGGAGAGGAAGGACAGACAGCAGAGGUAGUCCUGGACACAAGGAGGUGAGACCCCAGGGCACCGUCAGCCUAGUCUACUAGGGCCAGCAGGCGACAGCAUUUGUCCAGGCCAAACCACAGUGAGAAGCAGAGAGGAGAGUGCACAGCCCAGAGGUGUGGACAGAGCGCCUUUAGCACUAUGCACUGUACCACCAAGAGACAUGAUACUCCAGUUGCUCAGCUGUAGCCAGGCUUGGCUCUGACUUCCAGGCAUGGCUGUGGUCACUCAUAGAGGUCCCAAGGUGGGCGGUGUGGGAAGUGUUUUCAGUUCUCCAACAAUGACAAGACCCCAACAAUGAACCAUGUAGCUAAUGAGUCCCUACAUCUCCAAAUCUCUGUCUGUCCUAUCCUGGAUGCAGAAAGGAGAAAGCCGCCUCUUCUAGGCUUAGAGAUGCCUCUCUCCCUCCUGCCAUCUUCCUCUGUGGAAAAGAUGAGAAGGUCUUGUGCUUGUGUGUGGUGGGUCCUUCACUGGGUAACUUUACUUACUGGGCUCUCCCGGAACCAGGGUUUUGUGACCAAGCAGACUGAUCAUCGCCUUACCUCCACUUGGCUGAGUAGUGCCCCCCGCACCUGCAUCCACACAGAAUCUCAGUGUGUGGACUUCUUCGGAAAUAGUCUUUGUAGAUGUAAUAGGUAGGACAAGGUUGUACUGGAUUAGGGUCGGUCCUACUCUAUCGAUGCACAUCCUCAUAAGAAAGGGGAUCAGACACUGAGUCUAAUGCACCAAGGAGGGUACGUGACCACCAGGCCCAGAUGGGAGGGACGCAGUUGCAAGCCAAGGAACACCAAGGGCUCCCAGGAGCCACCAGGAGCUGGGAGAGGCAGACAGUGUCAAUUUUGAACUUCUAGGCCCUGGAAAGGAGCGAAUAAUUCAUGUUGUGUUAAGCCACCUCGCUUGUGGUGAUUUGUUAUAGCAAAUUUUUCACAGCUUUGUGAAAAUUGAUCAAUGAAUAGUUGAAAAAGUUGCCUCCUGUAGUAAAU
ensembl:lincRNA